rfam:Triticum aestivum genome assembly, contig: Triticum_aestivum_CS42_TGACv1_scaffold_129657_2BL
UAUCUACUCCCUCCAUCCCAAAAUUCUUGUCUUAGAUUUGUCUAAAUACGGAUGUAUCAAGUCACGUUUUAGUAUUAGAUACAUCCGUAUCUAGACAAAUCUAAGCCAAAAAUUUAGGACGGGGGGAGUGAUAA